rnacentral:rRNA from 1 species
UACGGAGGGUGCAAGCGUUAAUCGGAAUUACUGGGCGUAAAGCGUGCGCAGGCGGUUUGUUAAGUCCGUUGUGAAAGCCCCGAGCUCAACUUGGGAAUUGCAGUGGAUACUGGCAGGCUGGAGUACGGUAGAGGAAGGUGGAAUUCCCGGUGUAGCAGUGAAAUGCGUAGAUAUCGGGAGGAACACCAGUGGCGAAGGCGGCAUCCUGGACCGGCAUUGACGCUGAGUGAGCGAAAGCCAGGGGAGCAAACGGG